rnacentral:tRNA from 1 species
GUGCCGCUGCCUGGCCACGGCAUGCCGGCCGGGGCGCUGGUGCUGGCCCGGCAUGCGGGCCGCGCGCCGUUCGAGGCGGUGGAGGUGCACC